rnacentral:rRNA from 1 species
AUGUUUCCGUUCAAGUUCAAGAGUAAGCAAUUUCCUGUAAGGCUUAGCUUUGCUAUGACGAUUAACAAGACUCAAGGCCAGACGAUUCUGAUUGUUAGCAUGUACCUACCUAAUCCGGUGUUCUCUCAUGGUCAACUCUAUGUCGCAUUGUCUCGAGCCAUCGCAAAGAGAAAUAUAAAGAUCCUCAUUGAGAAGGAGAAGGAGAAGGAGAAUGCCCAGAAGCAAAGCGGUAAAUCUAAGAAGCGAAAAAGACCUGCCUUGUCCUUACAGACCUCAAUGAAGAACAUCGUCUAUAAGGAAGUCCUUACAGGCGGAAGUCUGCUCUUAAAUAUGUGA